rnacentral:snRNA from 1 species
AUCAACAUUCUCUUUUGUGUUG